rnacentral:rRNA from 1 species
CAAUAGCGUAUAUUUAAGUUGUUGCAGUUAAAAAGCUCGUAGUUGGAUUUCGGAUGGGACUUGCCGGUCCGUCGUUUCGAUGUGCACUGGCCAGUCCUAUCUUGUUGUCGGGGACUAGCUCCUGGGCUUCACUGUCCGGGACUAGGAGCUGACGAGGUUACUUUGAGUAAAUUAGAGUGUUCAAAGCAAGCCUACGCUCUGAAUACAUUAGCAUGGAAUAACACGAUAGGACUCUGGCUUAUCUUGUUGGUCUGUGAGACCAGAGUAAUGAUUAAGAGGGACAGUCGGGGGCAUUCGUAUUUCAUUGUCAGAGGUGAAAUUCUUGGAUUGAUGAAAGACGAACUUCUGCGAAAGCAUUUGUCAAGGAUGUUUUCAUUAA